UACGAAGGGGGCUAGCGUUGCUCGGAAUCACUGGGCGUAAAGGGUGCGUAGGCGGGUCUUUAAGGUCAGGGGUGAAAUCCUGGAGCUCAACUCCAGAACUGCCUUUGAUACUGAAGAUCUUGAGUUCGGGAGAGGUGAGUGGAACUGCGAGUGUAGAGGUGAAAUUCGUAGAUAUUCGCAAGAACACCAGUGGCGAAGGCGGCUCACUGGCCCGAUACUGACGCUGAGGCACGAAAGCGUGGGGAGCAAACAGG
rnacentral:rRNA from 1 species